GCUUCAUUCAAAUAUCUGCCCUAUCAACUUUCGACGGUAGGAUAGUGGCCUACCAUGGUUUCAACGGGUAACGGGGAAUAAGGGUUCGAUUCCGGAGAGGGAGCCUGAGAAACGGCUACCACAUCCAAGGAAGGCAGCGGGCGCGCAAAUUACCCAAUCCCGACCGGGGAGGUAGUGACAAUAAAUACGACUAUAGGGCUCUUUCGGGUCUUAUAAUUGGAAUGAGUACAAUUUAAAUCUCUUAACGAGGAACAAUUGGAGGGCAAGUCUGGUGCCAGCAGCCGCGGUAAUUCCAGCUCCAAUAGCGUAUAUUACAGUUGUUGCAGUUAAAAAGCUCGUAGUUG
rnacentral:rRNA from 1 species